rnacentral:lncRNA from 1 species
GGUUUGAGAGGUUUCAAAAAUUUAGCACACAAAAAAAAUGUCGAUUUGCACACUAAAAAAAUUUAGGGAUUUCUAAAAAAAAAAUUAUGAUUUGAACAUGAGUAUCCCUUUUUAAAAAAAAAUUGAAGAUAUUUUGAAAAAAAAUGAGAGAUUUAACAAAAAAUGAUUAAACAGAGUUUUAGAGAAUGAUUAAUUGGAGUGAUUUGAUUAAAGAACUUCUUAACACUCAACAGAUCUGGCUAUGAAAUUUUAGGGUUUUGAAAUAUCAGUAUAAAAUAGAUCUAAUUGUGAACUUAAAAAAUUUAAAGAAUAAAUUUUGAGUAAAAAAAGUUGAAAAAUCUAAAGAAAAUUUUAUAAAUCAUUUUUGAACAAAAUUUAGGGUUAAAAAAUACUAGUUUAAAAAUGUUAAAAAAAAUAGUUUGACGAAUUUAAAAAAUUUUAAGUAUUCGAAGAGAUAUGAGAAGUUGCUGACUAAUAUAGAUCUACAAUCAGUUUGAGGAUGUACAUUGACAAAAAUUUGAAACACAAUAAAAGAAUAAUCAACAGCUUGAACAAUAAUAUACAAUAAAAUUAAUAAUAGAUUGUUUGAAAAAUAUCAACAGAUCAAAAAAAGAUGAUUUCAUAAACCAUUUUUGGAAAAAUAAUUCGGUGAAAAGAUGGUUUUGGUGAUAAGAAUUCGAUUAAUCAGAGUAUUUUUCUCAAAAACAUACUGGAAUGCACCGAUUUGGACGGAAAAAGAUUAGGGUUUUCAGAUCGGUUGAGAGAGAUGGAGAGCGCUUGAAGAAAGAAGGAGAGAA